UACGUAGGGUGCGAGCGUUACUCGGAAUUACUGGGCGUAAAGCGUGCGCAGGCGGUUUGUUAAGACAGGUGUGAAAUCCCCGGGCUUAACCUGGGAAUGGCGCUUGUUACUGGCAGGCUAGAGUGUGUCAGAGGGAGGUAGAAUUCCACGUGUAGCAGUGAAAUGCGUAGAGAUGUGGAGGAAUACCGAUGGCGAAGGCAGCCUCCUGGGAUAACACUGACGCUCAUGCACGAAAGCGUGGGGAGCAAACAGG
rnacentral:rRNA from 1 species